rnacentral:rRNA from 1 species
AACGCACCUUGCACCCUUUGGUAUUCCGAAGGGUAUGCUCGUUUGAGUGUCAUUGUACUCUCACACUUACUGGUCCUUUGGGUUCAGGAGUGGUGGACUUGGGUGUUGCUGCUUACCUUGCGGCUCACCUCAAAUGCAUUAGUGCAUCUCUUGGUCAGACACAGUACGGCAUGAUAAGUAUCUUUGCCGGCACCUCGCAAGAGGGUGGCUAAUCGGGAGCUCUGUGCUUUCCAAUGGUCAUUUACUUGACAAUCUCUGACAAUCUGGCCUCAAAUCGAGUAGGACUACCCGCUGAACUUAA